rnacentral:SRP_RNA from 1 species
UUGUGCUAGGUGGGGAGUUAGCGGUGCCCUCUACCCGAAAUCCGCUUCAUGCGGGACCGAAUCCCCUUCCGAGGAUUAUGCUGAAAGCACUAACAUCGGACGACCGGACGCUGCGCAACAGACGGUCGCGAACCUCGUCAGGUCCGGAAGGAAGCAGCGAUAAGUGAUGCAGUUUGUGUCGCGGUUCGUUCCCGGUCAUACGCCGAUGAAAGUGUUGAUGCCAAUUCGAAGAAGGGUGCACAA